rnacentral:rRNA from 1 species
UACGAAGGGUGCAAACGUUGCUCGGAAUUAUUGGGCGUAAAGCGCACGUAGGCGGCUUUGCAAGUCGGAUGUGAAAUCCCUCGGCUUAACCAAGGAAGUGCAUCCGAAACUGCAGAGCUUGAGUACUUAAGAGGAUCGCGGAAUUCCCGGUGUAGAGGUGAAAUUCGUAGAUAUCGGGAGGAACACCAGUGGCGAAGGCGGCUCACUGGACAUGUAUUGACGCUGAGGUGCGAAAGCGUGGGGAGCAAACAGGG